CCAGGGUAGCCCCUGAGAAGUUGGGACACGGUCCUGCGGUAGAUAAGAGACAGAGUCUAGCAGGAAUCCCCUCCGCUUGCGGGUAGGAAGCUUGGGGAGCAGCCUCAUGGAAGAGAAGCAGAUCCUGUGCGUGGGGCUGGUGGUGCUGGACAUCAUCAAUGUGGUGGACAAAUACCCAGAGGAAGACACGGAUCGCAGGUGCCUAUCCCAGAGAUGGCAGCGUGGAGGCAACGCGUCCAACUCCUGCACUGUGCUUUCCUUGCUCGGAGCCCGCUGUGCCUUCAUGGGCUCGCUGGCCCAUGGCCAUGUUGCCGAGUAAGUUAGGAGGGAGUACCUGGUAGAGGGAUAGAGCACCUUGUCUGCAGAGUAUAGGGAGAGCUGCCUGAACCCUGGGCGGGCUGGAUGGAGGAAUGGUUGGUGGGUGGUGGCCCACAGGGGAGUCUCAGAUCCUUCAGGGGUGGUCCACCUGCUGUUCAGAUACUAACAUGACUCCUGUAAGGUUCCAUUUCUACAGCUUGCUGCAGAGUCCGCUUAGGCUCCCCACCACCCACUUUCUUCCUUGCUUCCUGUAGACUCUGCCUUUGCUCUUCUCAUGUACCUUAUCCUGGCUGUGUUUGAGGUAAAAGGCAGGGAGGAACAUGCUGUGCCCUUCUCUGCUUAAGGGGCAUCCAGUAUCCAUGGUUACAGGAUGAAGGCCCUCAUUGAGGAUUAGGGCCACUGCUCCUGUCUUCAUUGUAAGUACUAAGAGUACACUCCUUGGGACAUCCUGAGGUCACAUAUUAACACUGGGUCCCAAACCCAUUUGCUCUGGAGGCUGAGUUCCACAAGUGACCCACGCGCCUUCUCCAUGCCAACCACUGCAAAGACCCAAGAGCCCUUUGACUCCUGGCACUGUCAGCUCAGCACACUUAUCAGGAGGUGUGGCCUACACUUUGCCCACUGCAGGCCCUGGAGUGCUUUGCCAGGUUGCUGGACUCUAAAACAUGGCCCUUUGAACCCUAGUCUGAGGGGCUGUUGCCAGCCAAAUUCCCAGUCUUGGAGAACUGGAGCAAAACUAACAGAGCAAGAGACCUGGUCCCCGAGAUGGGACAGUCAUUCCUUCCUAGGUGGAAGCAGGACCCUGGUUCUCGUUUCGGAUGGUGGACUCUCCUUUAUAGAGUAGUCAUAUUGGUGGGUGAGCCAUUGAGAAUUCUCUUGGGGUUGGGGAUUUAGCUCAGUGGUAGAGCGCUUGCCUAGCAAGCGCAAGGCCCUGGGUUCGGUCCCCAGCUCCAAAAAAAAAAAAAAAAAA
rnacentral:lncRNA from 1 species